rnacentral:rRNA from 1 species
GACGUAGGGUGCGAGCGUUGUCCGGAUUUAUUGGGCGUAAAGAGCUCGUAGGCGGCUCGUCGCGUCGACCGUGAAAACCCGCAGCUUAACUGCGGGCUUGCGGUUGAUACGGGCGGGCUAGAGUUCGGUAGGGGGAGACUGGAAUUCCUGGUGUAGCGGUGAAAUGCGCAGAUAUCAGGAGGAACACCGGUGGCGAAGGCGGGUCUCUGGGCCGAUACUGACGCUGAGGAGCGAAAGCGUGGGGAGCGAACAGG